AUUACUGAGUUUACGCUCUAUAACCCUUUGUGAACAUACCUAUAACUGUUGCUUCGGCGGGUAGGGUCUCCGUGACCCUCCCGGCCUCCCGCCCCCGGGCGGGUCGGCGCCCGCCGGAGGAUAACCAAACUCUGAUUUAACGACGUUUCUUCUGAGUGGUACAAGCAAAUAAUCAAAACUUUUAACAACGGAUCUCUUGGUUCUGGCAUCGAUGAAGAACGCAGCGAAAUGCGAUAAGUAAUGUGAAUUGCAGAAUUCAGUGAAUCAUCGAAUCUUUGAACGCACAUUGCGCCCGCCAGCAUUCUGGCGGGCAUGCCUGUUCGAGCGUCAUUUCAACCCUCAAGCUCUGCUUGGUGUUGGGGCCCUACAGCUGAUGUAGGCCCUCAAAGGUAGUGGCGGACCCUCCCGGAGCCUCCUUUGCGUAGUAACUUUACGUCUCGCACUGGGAUCCGGAGGGACUCUUGCCGUAAAACCCCCAAUUUUCCAAAGGUUGACCUCGGAUCAGGUAGGAAUACCCGCUGAACUUAAGCAUAUCAAUAAGCGGAGGAAAAGAAACCAACAGGGAUUGCCUCAGUAACGGCGAGUGAAGCGGCAACAGCUCAAAUUUGAAAUCUGGCC
rnacentral:rRNA from 1 species